rnacentral:rRNA from 1 species
AUUGAACGCUGGCGGCAGGCCUAACACAUGCAAGUCGAACGAGUGGCGGACGGGUGAGUAAUGUAUGGGAAACUGCCUGAUGUAGGGGGAUAACUACUGGAAACGGUAGCUAAUACCGCAUACCAUCAGAUGUGCCCAGAUGGGAUUAGCUAGUGGGUGGGGUAACGGCUCACAAAGGCGACACUCCCUAGCUGGUCUGAGAGGAUUACCGGCAAAAUUGGAACUGGGCAACGUCCCAGCCCCCUAGGGAGGGAACAGUAGGGGAAUAUUGCACAAUGGGCGAAAGCCUGAUGCACCCCUGCCGGGUGUAUGAAGAGGUCUUUCGGGUGGUAAAGUACGUUCAGCGGGGAGACGUAACCCGCAGAAGAAGCACCGGUUAACUCCGUGCAACCGGCGGGGGUAAUU